rnacentral:rRNA from 1 species
GGUUAAGUUAGAAAGGGCGCACGGUGGAUGCCUUGGCACUAGGAGCCGAUGAAGGACGGGACGAACACCGAUAUGCUUCGGGGAGCUGUAAGCAAGCUUUGAUCCGGAGAUUUCCGAAUGGGGAAACCCACUGCUCGUAAUGGAGCAGUAUCCAUAUCUGAAUUCAUAGGAUAUGAGAAGGCAGACCCGGGGAACUGAAACAUCUAAGUACCCGGAGGAAGAGAAAGCAAAUGCGAUUCCCUGAGUAGCGGCGAGCGAAACGGGAACAGCCCAAACCAAGAGGCUUGCCUCUUGGGGUUGUAGGACACUCUGUACGGAGUUACAAAGGAACGAGGUAGAUGAAGAGGUCUGGAAAGGCCCGCCAUAGGAGGUAACAGCCCUGUAGUCAAAACUUCGUUCUCUCCUGAGUGGAUCCUGAGUACGGCGGAACACGUGAAAUUCCGUCGGAAUCCGGGAGGACCAUCUCCCAAGGCUAA